CGGACGGGUGAGUAAUGUCUGGGAAACUGCCCGAUGGUGGGGGAUAACUACUGGAAACGGUAGCUAAUACCGCAUAACGUCGCAAGACCAAAGAGGGGGACCUUAGGGCCUCUUGCCAUCGGAUGUGCCCAGAUGGGAUUAGCUAGUAGGUGGGGUAAUGGCUCACCUAGGCGACGAUCCCUAGCUGGUCUGAGAGGAUGACCAGCCACACUGGAACUGAGACACGGUCCAG
rnacentral:rRNA from 1 species